rnacentral:rRNA from 1 species
GUAGGGACCAAGCGUUAUCCGGAAUUAUUGGGCGUAAAGGGUGCGUAGGCGGCCAUGUAAGUCUAAGUUAAGAGCCCACAGCUUAACUGUGGAAGGUGCUUAGAAACUGUAUGGCUUGAAUUCAGAAGAGGCAAGUGGAAUUCUAUGUGGAGCGGUGGAAUGCGUAGAUAUAUGGAGGAACACCAGUGGCGAAGGCGGCUUGCUGGGCUGAUAUUGACGCUGAUGCACGAAAGCGUGGGGAGCAAACAGGAUUAGAUACCCUGGUAGUCCACGCCCGUAAACGAUGAGUACUAAGUGUUGGAGAAAUUCAGUGCUGAACUUAACAGAUUAAGUACUCCGCCCUGGGAUUACGACCGCAAGGUUG